rnacentral:rRNA from 1 species
CACGUAGUUAGCCGGGGCUUCUUAGUCAGGUACCGUCUUGUCUCGUUCCUGCUGAUAGAGCUUUACAUACCGAAAUACUUCUUCACUCACGCGGCGUCGCUGCAUCAGGGUUUCUCCCAUUGUGCAAUAUUCCCCACUGCUGCCUCCCGUAGGAGUUUGGGCCGUGUCUCAGUCCCAAUGUGGCCGUCCACCCUCUCAGGCCGGCUACUGAUCGUCGCUUUGGUAGGCCGUUACCCUGCCAACUGGCUAAUCAGACGCGGGUCCAUCCCAUACCACCGGAGUUUUUCACACAGGAGCAUGCGCUCCCCGUGCGCUUAUGCGGUAUUAGCACCUGUUUCCAGGUGGUAUCCCCCGGUAGUGGGGCAGGUUACCCACGCGUUACUCACCCGUCCGCCACUAAGAUACUCAUUUCCAAAGUGCAAGCACCCCUUCCGCAGCACUCCCCGUUCGACUUGCAUGUGUAAGCACGCCGCCAGCGUUCAUCCUGAGCCAGGAUCAAACUCUACG